rnacentral:lncRNA from 1 species
AAUGCUAUGGGAAUUUCCAGGGUUUCCAUCACAUUUGGAGUUUUCACACAAGAGCGUAUUCUAGCCUUCAUAAAAAGUUUAAUACUGAACACACAACUGUGCUCCUCUGAAAAGAUGUGCAUGACAAUAACAGGUAUGAUCAAUCGCAUUUGUAAAUUCAUUGGAAUUUGAUUGAUUGCCCAGCUCUAGUACACAUCAAGCCACAUUCAAUAGAAUUUUUAAAACAUCAAAAUCACACCCAACCCAGAUAAAAGAGUCCUUUUACUGACACAAAAAUAGCCCUGACCUUAAUUACAGAGCCGUGUGUGUGGAGCAAUCCCUAACCUGAUUCUCUUAGUCAAGCGCAUUUGUUGUUGGGAUGACAUCACAUAAGCUUUCACUAUCAAAUGUUGUGCAAACAAAGGUGAUGUGGUGUUUGCAAAGCCUCAAGGCUUUUUGAUGUUGUGCG